CGGGCAGUAGCUUUAGGGUAGAGCUUUCGCCUCAUGUGCGAAAAAACCCGGGUUCGACUUCCGGCAGCUCCA
rnacentral:tRNA from 1 species